UUUUUUUUUUUUUUUGGAGACAGAGUUUCACUCUUGUUGCCCAGGCUGAAGGGCAGUGGUGCAAUUGGCUCACUGCAACCUCUAUUUUCCGGUGAUUUUCCUGCCUCAGCCUCCUGAAUAGCUGGGAUUAGAGGUGCCUGCUACCACGCCCAGCUAAUUUUUGUAUUAUUGUAUUUUUAGUAGAGACAGAGUUUCACCAUGUUGGCCAGGCUGGUCUCGAACUCCUGACUUCGUGAUCUGCCCACCUUGGCCUCCCAAAGUGCUAGGAUUACAGGCGUGAGCCACCGCGCCCGGCCUGCCAACAGAGAUUUUAUGGAAGAUGAAGAAGCAGCUUUUUUCGUGUGCCCAUUUCUGAGUUAUUCCAGGACUCACCAAGGGUAUUGAAACUGAAGGAGUGGUAGUCUUUCUUCGAGUACUACAUGGCUCGGUGGGGAUUGAGGGGUAGAACCCGACCAUACGUAGGCAUGGAGGGAUGGCAUGUAUGUUCCCAAGGUGUCACUUCUCUUAGCCAAACAUUGUUUUGCUUAUCUAAGUAUGAAUGCCAGUGAUGGUAUCAAAUGGUCGGUGGCUGGGAUCCAGCCCCUGUAUUUUUGAUCAGCUGACAGGAUCCCAGAGGAAAUAUACACAGAGGCCGCUCUAAAAAACCCUUCUGUUGAUGACUUCACACCUUUGGCGCCGUGAGGCAGCGUGGUGGGCUAGUCCGGAGAGUCUGGUGCCUGAGGACUCCUGUGGCUGGAGAAGUGGCCCAAGGCCCAGAAACUUCCUUGGUACCAGCCCCGGGUCCACAUCCUUAUUACAAUGGCCCUUUAGAUCUUACCACAUUCUAGGUAAGGAAGGGAGAUCGAUCGGAGGUAGGGAAUACCAAGGACAAGAGGGAAAGGGUGUCUCUGAAUGACCCAGGGCAGAACUGGCCAGGUGCCGUCCCUGAACUCCUAGGUCAUGACUGAGAAACUCAGAGGAGGAGAAAGGGUGAGAAAAAGUGAGCAAGUUACUUAAAGUUUAUCUUCUCAUUUGGACUAUAAGCUCCCUGUGUCUGUUUCUGGUCUCCUGUGCCCAGCAGAAGGUAUGGGACCUAGUGAAUGUUCAAUAAAUCGUUUUUGGGAAAAGAGCCCGAGGGGGCUGCAGUCCAGGUAUUGGGAGGCUGUGAGGGAAGAGGCGGUUGGAUCAGUAAGUCUGGAAGGAGAAGUGUGGAGCUAAAGUUUCCGGAGGGCAGGUCACUCUCAGAGGCCCAUGGGAAUGACAUCAGGGGGAGACUCCCAGAGUGGGCCUCAUGGCAGCUUUUUUCUCACCAGUGGUCAGAAUGGCCCCAGGACUGCAGCCCACCAGAUUUGUCAAGGACACAAAAAAUGAGUCAGAGAAGUCUCCCCCAGCCCCUAGCCCUGUGAACCAACCAUUCCAGGCAGUGUCAGUGUCUCUGCUCCAACAGGUGUGUGCCCAUGGUCCUAACUGCCUGGCACUGGUCAGUCCUAGCUGGGUAUGGAGCUCCCCUUUGAGAACAGGGCUGUGCCAGGCCUGUGGGAGACCAAGUACUAGCUCUGAUGGUUCUCACUUGGACAGCAACCAGCUUAGUCCUGCUAACCUGGGUCCACCUGAGCGGGUAGAAGGGAGCUUCCCUGAGCCAAGGAAGAAUGCUGAAUUCAGGCCGCAGGCAGAAAGAAACAGGACAGAGAGAAGAUUCCAGGAAAAGAGGAAAUCUGCUCCCAGUACACACCACCUCCCUCGUGGAGGC
rnacentral:lncRNA from 1 species